rnacentral:rRNA from 1 species
UAACACAUGCAAGUCGAACGGUAACAGGAAGCAGCUUGCUGCUUCGCUGACGAGUGGCGGACGGGUGAGUAAUGUCUGGGAAACUGCCUGAUGGAGGGGGAUAACUACUGGAAACGGUGGCUAAUACCGCAUAACGUCGCAAGACCAAAGAGGGGGACCUUCGGGCCUCUUGCCAUCAGAUGUGCCCAGAUGGGAUUAGCUUGUUGGUGAGGUAACGGCUCACCAAGGCGACGAUCCCUAGCUGGUCUGAGAGGAUGACCAGCCACACUGGAACUGAGACACGGUCCAGACUCCUACGGGAGGCAGCAGUGGGGAAUAUUGCACAAUGGGCGCAAGCCUGAUGCAGCCAUGCCGCGUGUAUGAAGAAGGCCUUCGGGUUGUAAAGUACUU